rnacentral:tRNA from 1 species
AGCCCCGAGGUAGAGUGCGCCAAAAUGCAAAUUUGGAGAAGCUCCCCAAAUGGGAGCCGGGGCUU